UGCAGCGCAAGAUCAUGGAGGAGGUGGUGCGCUUCCGCCCGGAGGGGCAGGGUAUUCUGGACUCCCUAGUUGAAAAGAGCAGUGACGAGAGUGCAAGUCAGAGUAAUUCAGCAGCAGCAGCAGCAGCAG
rnacentral:ribozyme from 1 species